rnacentral:tmRNA from 1 species
GGGGGCGUACCGGCUUCGACGUAUUAAUGAUAGUCUAGAGCGCAUGUCGAGCGUUGAUUGAGUGCUCGCAAAACAAUCAAUUAAAAACAAAUGCAGAAUCUCAUAAGACUGCAGGGGCUACUUUCUUGGCAUCAUUCUUCGGAAUGGUUGCUAUGUUAGCAGCUUCCUUCAGACGCCGUGAAGACGAUUAUUCUUCACUGUCUGUCGCUUAAUAAAACCAUAAUCCUUUUGCAGAAUCUUUUUUUAUUUCGUAGUGCAAAAGUAUAAGAAAUAAACGAGCUUGCGAUAUCUGUUUCCUGAGUAACAAGCUUGUAUAAAUGGAAACUAAACAUGUAGUGCUUU